GUUUCGAUAUGGUGCCAGUGAUGCUUCCUGGGUUUACCAGUGUUCCUGUCUCCUAAAGAUGCUCUCUCCUGUCCACUGCUCAAGCCUCACAUACAUCACAUGCUAAUCCUGGUUCACAGGCAUGAGGGCAGGACCUCAGAACAUUCAACACGUGGCCCCUGAUGCACAAAAUGUGAUGCUUGGCCAAUGGGGGAACUGUGAAGAAAGUUCCUGGAGAGAAGCUGUGCCUGCUGGGAUCAGAACUCCAGGGAGGAGUCUGUGUUUGCAGAGACUGGAGGACUGAGAGGAAUUUCAGUAGUGUGGAGACUCUGGAUUGAGCAGCGAUGAAGCCAAUUUUGCGUGGAUAAGAAUCUGCAAAUGAGACUGGACUGAUGGGUCAGCAGUGAGGAGCCCUUGCUGCUCUGGUGGAGACCUCACAGCAUCUUCACUCCAGGUCCAGGGACAGAUGCUGUCUUCUGGUCUUCACAGCACUAAAAGCAUGUAGUACACUUCCAUCCCCCUCGCCAACACACUCAACACUUAAUGCGACCCCCCAAAUUUAGAGAAAUCCUUAUGCUUAAUGAACCAUUUAUUUAUUUAUCUCCAGAAUUAAUUUUUCUUACUCUGUAUUGCAGAUGGAAUCAUAAAGUAUUUCAUAGAA